UCACAGAACUAUCCAGGGAGGGGUAUAGAGAAACUAAGAGUAACAGACAUGGGUGGAGAACCACCCAGAAUGAUUCACUGGAGACCUGGCAGGCAUCAAGGCACUGACGGUUCUAACUCCCUUCACACUGAAAAAAGCCUGCUCUUGGCCACCCACAAGGCUGGGCUGCUCCCCUGUGCUCCUCUCCUCCUGAAGGCACCGUCCAGAGGAAAGGGCUGGAGAUUCCAUCCUAAAUGCACCUGGAUAUUCCAUCCUUCUUCACCCUCCCCAUGAGAGAGGGCUGCUUUCAAUGCACAGGGCGCUAGGAUUAGCACCCUCCUGGGGGUUGCCUCGACAAGUGAAACCAGACUGAGCAACUGGUCAAACUUGGCAUCAUCAGAUUUUCAGCCUCCAGGAGUUCUGGCACAGAAACGAGGCAAAGGAGUUAACAAGCACUGGAUGAGGCCUUCACAGCAGACAGCUUGCCUUUACCCUUCAACACGGUGUGGGAAGUAGGAUCCAUUUUCCUGUUUCCCAGAUGAGGAACCUCAAGUUGAUGUCAAUGAACUUGUCAAGCCACCGCUCACACUGAAGUCUGUGUUCAAGUCCAGGUAUACCUUUAUAUUCCCAGACCCAGGAAUUCAUCUAGCAUACAACAGGUGCUACCUGUCUUUUUAUCUAUCUGUAUGGAAGUAAUGAGGUAAACUACCUGACUCAAAGGUAGACCAUGGUAUAUGGAAAAUACAGAGCAGCCACUACAUUAAGCAUAAGUUUGUACAAGUAGCCUUUACCACUAUUCCACGUCAGUCCUAGAGCCAAAUCAGAAAAGUCCAUCCUAAGAAAGUCAGCACCAACUUGUCAUCACACACACACACACACCCACACCCACACACACUUGAUUCUGUAAGUCUUUAAGUCCAAGUUUUUGCAAAAGUAGUGAUGAAAGGUUUUUGUUAAUAUAUUUUAAGCAAGUACAUCCACUUUUAGCUUUAGCUAUUACAAGCCCAUGGAAUCAGCAGACUGGAACAGCAGAUAACAGCAUGAUCUGCCCAAGGAUCAAUAGCCCAUUUUGGAUGGAACACAGCAAGGAAAGGGAAAUUAUGGGGCCUGAGUCUCCAGAAGAGGCUGCAAUGUGAUUCUGGAAGGAUGAAUAUGUUAGGGUAAGGGAUUUCAGCUUUCCUUCUUAGGCAGUGUGGAUCCACAUGAAUUACUGACUAGAAAGGUCACUGUGACUAUCUUGCAGGACAGAGAGGAAAGGUAAGAUGCUACAAGUGGAAGGAGUGGCUCUGCGUUCAGCUGGGCGCCUGCUAUACUCCUCCCCGGGGAAGGCAGGCUGUUACUAGAUUGUCUUAAUGAGACGUGUCCAAACUUGACGAGUAUUAAGUCCUUUAUCUUUGGCAGGAGAUAAAGGACUAAAAGAAGUUCCCUGUUGCUUUUUCCUCUUGUUCCUGCCCACAGAAAAUGCCAUCAUCUCACAAGUUGCCUCUUCCCAGGAGAAAGCAAGCGCCACACCCAAUAACUUACAAAGCUCUAGCCUUUUCUAUCGCCACACCCAAGAACUCACAAAGUUCUAGUUCUAGCCUUUUAGAAUUAGCCAUUCUAAUCACUUUUUCCUUUAUUUUCUU